rnacentral:rRNA from 1 species
AACGAACGCUGGCGGCAUGCCUAACACAUGCAAGUCGAACGAACCCUUCGGGGUUAGUGGCGGACGGGUGAGUAACACGUGGGAACGUGCCUUUAGGUUCGGAAUAACUCAGGGAAACUUGUGCUAAUACCGAAUGUGCCCUUCGGGGGAAAGAUUUAUCGCCUUUAGAGCGGCCCGCGUCUGAUUAGCUAGUUGGUGAGGUAACGGCUCACCAAGGCUACGAUCAGUAGCUGGUCUGAGAGGAUGACCAGCCACAUUGGGACUGAGACACGGCCCAAACUCCUACGGAAGGCAGCAGUGGGGAAUCUUGCGCAAUGGGCGAAAGCCUGACGCAGCCAUGCCGCGUGGAUGAUGAAGGUCUUAGGAUUGUAAAAUCCUUUCACCGGUGAAGAUAAUGACUGUAGCCGGAGAAGAAGCCCCGGCUAACUUCGUGCCAGCCGCCGCAGUAAGAC